GAAUGAGUGGCCGACUCUGGAGCCCAAGCUGUCGCUUCCCAUCUGGUGGUGAGGCCUCCAUUGUCUGGUGAGUGCAAUGUCAGAUGCUAGAGCCCAGGCUGUUGCUUCCCACUCUGGUAGUGAAUCCUCCAUAGUCUGGGACCAUUGCAAUUUAAAGAUGUGGCCAUAGAAUUCUCUCUGGAGGAGUGGCAGUGCCUGGACACUGCACAGCAGAAUUUAUAUAGGGAUGUGAAGUUUCAGAACUACAGAAACUUGGUCUUCCUUUGUGAAUUUUGAUAGUCAUGAUGGGCUUAUCGGUAGGAUUUCUGGUAGCGAGCACGGGCACCAGGGCCUCCAAACUUUUUGGACUUGCAGCG
rnacentral:antisense_RNA from 1 species